rnacentral:rRNA from 1 species
GACGAACGCUGGCGGCGUGCUUAACACAUGCAAGUCGAACGGAAAGGCCCUGCUUUUGUGGGGUGCUCGAGUGGCGAACGGGUGAGUAACACGUGAGUAACCUGCCCUUGACUUUGGGAUAACUUCAGGAAACUGGGGCUAAUACCGGAUAGGAGCUCCUGCUGCAUGGUGGGGGUUGGAAAGUUUCGGCGGUUGGGGAUGGACUCGCGGCUUAUCAGCUUGUUGGUGGGGUAGUGGCUUACCAAGGCUUUGACGGGUAGCCGGCCUGAGAGGGUGACCGGCCACAUUGGGACUGAGAUACGGCCCAGACUCCUACGGGAGGCAGCAGUGGGGAAUAUUGCACAAUGGGCGGAAGCCUGAUGCAGCAACGCCGCGUGCGGGAUGACGGCCUUCGGGUUGUAAACCGCUUUCGCCUGUGACGAAGCGUGAGUGACGGUAAUGGGUAAAGAAGCACCGGCUAACUACGUGCCAGCAGCCGCGGUGAUACGUAGGGUGCGAGCGUUGUCCGGAUUUAUUGGGCGUAAAGGGCUCGUAGGUGGUUGAUCGCGUCGGAAGUGUAAUCUUGGGGCUUAACCCUGAGCGUGCUUUCGAUACGGGUUGACUUGAGGAAGGUAGGGGAGAAUGGAAUUCCUGGUGGAGCGGUGGAAUGCGCAGAUAUCAGGAGGAACACCAGUGGCGAAGGCGGUUCUCUGGGCCUUUCCUGACGCUGAGGAGCGAAAGCGUGGGGAGCGAACAGGCUUAGAUACCCUGGUAGUCCACGCUGUAAACGGUGGGUACUAGGUGUGGGGUCCAUUCUACGGGUUCCGUGCCGUAGCUAACGCUUUAAGUACCCCGCCUGGGGAGUACGGCCGCAAGGCUAAAACUCAAAGGAAUUGACGGGGCCCCGCACAAGCGGCGGAGCAUGCGGAUUAAUUCGAUGCAACGCGUAGAACCUUACCUGGGUUUGACAUGGAUCGGGAGUGCUCAGAGAUGGGUGUGCCUCUUUUGGGGUCGGUUCACAGGUGGUGCAUGCCUGUCGUCAGCUCGUGUCGUGAGAUGUUGGGUUAAGUCCCGCAACGAGCGCAACCCUUGUUCACUGUUGCCAGCACGUUAUGGUGGGGACUCAGUGGAGACCGCCGGGGUCAACUCGGAGGAAGGUGGGGAUGACGUCAAGUCCUCAUGCCCCUUAUGUCCAGGGCUUCACGCAUGCUACAAUGGCUGGUACAGAGAGUGGCGAGCCUGUGAGGGUGAGCGAAUCUCGGAAAGCCGGUCUCAGUUCGGAUUGGGGCCUGCAACUCGACCUCAUGAAGUCGGAGUCGCUAGUAAUCGCAGACCAGCAACGCUGCGGUGAAUACGUUCCCGGG